GUGGGAGGUUUCAGGCAUUGGAUAUAUAAAUGCAAAUUUGUGGAGGUUGCUUGGGAAAUGAGAACAGUAGAAUUAAGCUACAGAAAAUUUUGCCUUAUUCCCAGAAUCUAGGGAUUGGACCAGAGCCCUGGUGUAGCUUGAACAGAAGUUACUUGUGCAUGUCAAUAAAUGAUUUUCACCAUUCUGAAGCUUAACAGAAAUAUUGUUCAAUACGAAAAAAACCCUUGCCAUUGCCGUUUUUUUUGUUUUCCCCAGCGGUAGCAAGUGGCAAGUGAGAGAAUGUUUUUAAUUGAAAUCACAGAACUUCAUCUCAGCCAACUUUCAAUUGCUUCCCUCGUGCAGCAUUUUGCCAGAGUUUCAAACAAGACUGUACAAGAAAGGAAAAUAAUGUGGUAUUCACAGAUACUACGCCGGUAUCUCUAGCCAGUUAAGUCACUGUGUUACUCUCACCGUUCUGCAGAGGGUGGGCAGAAUUGUACUUCAUAUACUUUCUCUGAGCUUCCGUGUCUGCACUCAGGCCCUCCGUGGGGGAUUCCUCCUGUGUUCACAGGCCACCCUGGCUUAGGUGCCUUUCCCUUCCUGUGGCCUCAUCUUCAUCCUUCUUGUCUGUUGAUUAUUGUUGUCAGGGAGUCUUCUGUGUAGGACUGUGAGUUGCAAAUAGCCUAAUGCUCUUACUAACUUCCUCCCCAUUCCUACUCCAAAUUCACUAGAACCUAGUCAAAUAGUGAUGACUGUUAUUUGUUUGCGUGCUGUUAGAGAACCAGAGAUGGCAAAGUAAUUGUUUCUAGUAUACGAUUACUAAGUGAGCAUUUAUUGAGUACCUACAUAUGCUUGGCCCUGUUUCAUGUCUACUGCUAGACAAUUAAUAUGUACCUGAUUUUAUUUUCAUCCAUACCUGUAUUUCCUCUUCCCAAUUAUAAUCCUGUAUUUUCUGUCUAACUCUCAUCCAUCAUGCUCAUUUCAGUGACUGAGAAGUUUUGUUGAGAUGUUCAAUUUAUACCUUUCAUGUCUUGAGUGGUGGUGUGAAUUUAAAUUGUUAAUGAAUUGAAAGAGGCCUUUCAGUAAUAUUCAUGUGCCUUUGCAGUAAUAUUCAAGCCAUGGUGAUUGGAUAACACUGCCUAUCACUUGUCCCAAAGACAUGCAAAGAAUCAUAAUUUCCCAGAAGGAUGGAAAGCUCAUUAUAUUUGUGGUCCAGCUCCUUUCAUUUUAUUCCUCUGGUGGUGUUCUCUCUAUGCGGUUUUAACCCAAUCAGAUCAAAAGGAAUGGUCUGUUACCCAUGGCUGAAUGAGAUCUGUCACAGUAUUUACCUUUGGGCCACUGUCUUUAGGGAGAAAAAAAUACCACAGUUCGUUUAGAUGUGAUCUCUCUGGGGCUUCUUCGUAUCAGCCAGGCUGUUGGGUGGUGUUGAUCUGAUCCUCUUUGAGCAUCUAUUCUCCAGUGUCACAAGAGACACAGUGGUAGUGAAUCUGUAUUCCUCUCCACGCUGGGGGAGCGCUAAGCAAGUGCUUCCAUUUGGAGAACAAACAGGUAUCUCUGGGCUUCUAGGCAGGUGGGGAAUGCUGAAUAAUUAAUUGGUCUCUAGGAAGAUGCUAAUUGCUAUAGUUGAAUAUUCUUUUGGACUUAAUGUCAAUCGUAGUUUGACUAUUGCAGAAUCCUUUCAGAGCAUAAAAGUGUUUAGGAGUGAGUGCAUUAAUGGUACAGAUAGGCAUUGUUUUUGAACAUUAAUAUGGAGCAUGACUUGGCAUAGUUUUGGAAGAGGCUUUUCCAUCUACAUGACUUUGAUUUGAGCCAUUAACUAUGCACUUGGCACUUCAAACUAUAAUUAAUUUAGGUUAAGUUGUUCCCUUUGAUAAAGAAAGCUGUAGGAUAGGUGGUCAUUAAUUACAUCAAGAAGCUUUGUAGGGGUUUUGAAAGACAAAAUUGGAUUCCUGUUUGAAGACAAAGAAGUGUCUGCUGUGCCUUGCCUUUUGGAAUGAAUGAGAGUAAUUUUAGGAAUUCCAGCCUCUGCCCAUAAGGUGACAGUUUGGUUCUGAAUCCUCAAGACGUCACUUACACAAAACCAGACCUGCAAGUGCCGUGUGUUUUUCAUACGUUGUGUUCUUUAACAUCUCCAUCAAGGCUUUGGGUGGAGAGAAAAGGGAUUGAAAAAGAUGUGCUGAAAUUUCAAGUAAGGCUUUCUGCCUAUUGCACUUCCUGUGAAUCCAUCCUAAGGAGCAAGUGCGGACAUUGCCCACAUUUAAGACUUAUUCACUGAAGAGGUGCAGUCACUUUAAUGCCUGGCAUUUUACUCAACUAACUCAUUGGUGAAAUAAAGGAUUGAUGGAUUGAUGUUCAACUUAUAUAAGGCCAUGUACAUAUUGCUAAGUUCCCCCUGAACAUCGUAGGUAUCUAAAAAAGAGACUUUUUGAUUUGUUUUAAUAAAUAACAUUAAGCGCCUCCAUUUCCAAUCCCUGUUUGGAAAUGUCACAAUGAUGGGUGUGUGUUAUUUUGACCCCAUGUGAAGAUUCCGUGGCAACAGUAAACAUUCACAUUGCAGAUUUUCAUAAGGCAAUAAAUCCACAUGAUGCAAGCAGCCUUGGCCUGCAAUAAAGAUGUGUUGUGAAAUUUCCCAUGCCAGAGGAGACACUCAUAGCUUGGGACUGGCACUUUCAAGCCUGUAGACAGUGAUACCUGGGCACUCCCCUUCUGGACUUGCCAUCAGCUGGAGUUUGCGGCCCAUGGGGUUCCUUGUGUUGCCUGGCUCUGUUUGUUUAAGCUUCAUUGCAUGGCUUGUACUACUGUCCUAAGUAGUUGCUCUUUUUCCCAAGAACUCUCUUUGCAGUAUACUCUUGGUGUUUUAUUUCUCUUUUCUUACAUUAAUCCUCAAUUAAGAACAAGCCCUAACAUUCAACAUCAUUGUUAAGGGCUAAGAAUAAUUUCUGAGAGAAUUUCUAAUUGCUGCCUUUCCAAAAUCUGGUAAUUUGUAUUUGGAUACUCUUAGCACAAUUUGGGGGAGAGGGGUGAUUUACUUUUCUUUCUUCCUUUUUUUUAAAAACGUGCACGCGUCCCAGCUUUCACUGAAGACAGCACAGUCUCAAUGGCAUGGUUUACAAGUGGUGUAAUGGAAAUUAUACAGGAUUGGAGCCACACAGGCCUGUUUUAACAUCUUAGCAUCAUCGUGUAUUAAUUAUGUGACUUUGGCAAGUCACACAGCCUCUCCGAAACUCAAUUUUCUCACUGUUAGUUAGGACUUAAAAUAUUAACUGUGAUUCAUCUAUAAUAUUCAUUAGGGUUUGUGGCAGAAAUUGCAGUGAUAGCUCCCAUUUCACAUACUGUUCUCCAAUUCUGAUUUGGAUGCCCCUACAUUGUGGAGGUAGGGGUUGGUGUUGUCUGUCUCCUCUUUGAAUCGGGGUGAGAGAAAGUGGUUGUGAUUAUGGUGAAGGUGGGGAUGUGAGGUUUCCAAGACAGAGUCAAAAGGAGUGAUAUGGCUUCCACCUGAUUGUCUUGGGACUUUCCAUUUUGGAAUGUAGCCAGCAACCAAUGAGGAAGCUCAAGCAGCCACAUGGAGAGGCCCCUCUAGGUGUUUCCAGCGGACAGCCCAGCUGAGGCCCCGGCGAUGCUUGCCUCUCACUGAUGAGUCACCUUCCGUCUUCCCAGUGGAAGCUCCAGGUCUCAAGGAACAGAGAAGAGACCUUUCCUCUGUGCUCGGUACAAAAUCCUGACUCAGAAAUUGUAAAAGAUGAAGUUACUGUUGUCUGAAGCUGUAAUGUUUUGGGGUGAUUUAUUAUGCAUCAAAAGACAACCAGAACAAGUUUAUCGUGAAAGUCAAAUGAAACAGUGAUUCUCUUUCUGGGUUUGGAUACCAUUUAAUAGCCAUGUGACCUUAGACAUACUACUUAACUGCUUUUGUGUCUGUGUGUUUUUAUUGAUCAAUAGGGCCAACAGUACCUCCCUCUAGACUUAUAGGAGAAUUCAUCAUUGAAUACGUGUAGAUGCUCAAUAAAUGUUAGUUGUCAUUAUUUUCUAUUAAACUGUGUUGCUGGAGUUUGACAAUGUGUGGGGAGAUUUAUGUUAAUGGUGUUAUGAUUUUAAAAAGGAGUUAUGCAAAUUUUUAAGUGACUUUCCUAGGCAAGAAACCAGUGGGGCUUUGGAUAUCAAAUUUUGAAUGUAAUUUUCAUGAAGUGAAAAAAAAUAAAAGAAAAUUAAAAAUAAAUGUUACUAAAUCCUGCCAAGCAUGUAUUUCAUAUAUUUUUCUAUAGUCCAGGAACCCUUUGGCUUCAACUGAUAGCAGGAGACAUAAAUACUCCAGUAUAGGAUAUUGACAGAAGGGUUAGAGAAUAGUAAGUAGGAAGAAAGUCUUAAUUUAUUCAUAUUAUGUACCAGAACUGCACU